UACGUAGGCAGCGAGCGUUGUUCGGAGUUACUGGGCGUAAAGGGUGUGUAGGCGGUUUUCUAAGUUUGGUGUGAAAUCUCCCGGCUCAACCGGGAGGGUGCGCCGAAAACUGGGAGACUAGAGUGCGGGAUGGGAGAGUAGAAUUCCUGGUGUAGCGGUGAAAUGCGUAGAUAUCAGGAGGAACACCUGUGGUGUAGACGGCUUUCUGGACCAUUGCUGACGCUGAGACACGAAAGCGUGGGUAGCAAACAGG
rnacentral:rRNA from 1 species